AACGCAAAUUGCGCCUUCUUUCGGAAGGCAUGUCUGUUUGAGGGCACCAUUUAACAAAUAAUGUGCGCGUCGUUUACGGACGACGUGCGCACGUUGAUGAGCUUUUCCGAAAAAACCCGGUUUUUUUGGUGGCGCAUAAUGAACAGCGUGGGCUUUUUCUUCGAUUCUCGUGUAGUAAAUGUUCAACGCUUGGGUUGAGAAAAAGUGCGUGCCGCGCAAUGGGUGUGGCGAAUUUUACCCCUGCCCCAAUGCCACUCUUUCCCUGCGAAAGAACAAUCUUUUAUUUAGGGCCUCAAAUCAGACAAGAGUACCCGCUGAACUUAA
rnacentral:misc_RNA from 1 species